rnacentral:rRNA from 1 species
AGUGAACGCUGGCGGUAGGCCUAACACAUGCAAGUCGAACGGCAGCACAGUAAGAGCUUGCUCUUACGGGUGGCGAGUGGCGGACGGGUGAGGAAUACAUCGGAAUCUACUUUUUCGUGGGGGAUAACGCAGGGAAACUUACGCUAAUACCGCAUACGACCUACGGGUGAAAGCAGGGGAUCUUCGGACCUUGCGCGAUUGAUUGAGCCGAUGUCGGAUUAGCUAGUUGGCGGGGUAAAGGCCCACCAAGGCGACGAUCCGUAGCUGGUCUGAGAGGAUGAUCAGCCACACUGGAACUGAGACACGGUCCAGACUCCUACGGGAGGCAGCAGUGGGGAAUAUUGGACAAUGGGCGCAAGCCUGAUCCAGCCAUACCGCGUGGGUGAAGAAGGCCUUCGGGUUGUAAAGCCCUUUUGUUGGGAAAGAAAAGCAGCAGGUUAAUACCCCGCUGUUCUGACGGUACCCAAAGAAUAAGCACCGGCUAACUUCGUG